AAAAAACUAGUUAAAUUAAUAACAAAAGAAUGUCAUUCUUUAAUUACUAAGGUGUUUUUUA
rnacentral:tRNA from 2 species